GGAGCUGCAAAAUGUGCAUAACAUUCAAAUGGAUUCAAACUUCCCCGCCCCUUAAAUACAGAGUUUUCAAAUGGGUUGGUAGGAGAAUUAUAUGAACAUGCCAGAAUCCCAAGAUCCUCAGGUGAGAGAUUUCUAUUAGUCCCACCAACCCAUCCAGUGGUUAGUUGGUUGUAUGGAAAGGGCUUUUUAGGAGAAUGGACUGUACUUCUACAUUCAGUGUUAUGUUUUUAAACAAUUUAAUUUUUUUUAAAAAAAACUAGUGGUGCUUUAAUUUUUUUUUUUCGUGUCAGGAGCAACUUGAGUUGCUUCUGGUAUGAGAGAAUUGGCCGUCUGCAAGGACGUUGCCCAGGGGAUACCCAGAUGUUUUAAUGUUUUACCAUCCUUGUGGGAGGCUUCUCUCAUGUCCCCGCAUGGAGCUGGAGCUGAUAGAGGGUGGGAUUCGAACCUGGCAGUUUCAGAUCAGCAACCCAACCUUCAAGUCACGAGGCUUUAAUCCACUACGCCAACGGGGACUCCGGUGCUUUAAUAAUAACUUGCUUAAUUGUGUUUUAAUUCUUUUAUCAUCAGGUUUUUAGCUUUAUUUGCUUUUGACCUUGGGUCCCAUGUUGGGAGAAAAUACACUGAUUUUGGAUCCAGAGAUUCAACUAUACAUGGCUUGAAAAUAUCCCCCCUCCCAUUUUGUCUAAAGAAUGUCAUUUUACUAUGUCAUUGUGAAUAAUGGUACUUGAGCAUCCACGGAUUUUGGUAUCUGUGGGGGAUACGCAAGUGCUGGACCCAAACUCAGCUGAUACCAAAAGUCCACUGUACAAGUAAAAUCAAAUAAAUAAUAAAAUGUCUCUAUGAGCGGACUGUUUCUCAAUUAACAACCUAUGAAGUACGUUGGACCCAACAAAACCUUUUCCCUCCUUCCCCUCUCUUUUGCUCUGUCCUCACAAUUAACAUCUCCUCUUUAUGUCUGUUUGUCUUUUUAUGUUAGGAGAAGUGUUACCAUCAGCCAAGAGGAAUGUGCAUAUAAGGAAGAGGGAAGGGGUUCAGAAAAGGGAACCCUCUCAAGGAAGAAUCCUGUCUUGCUACUGGGCCUGAAUCCAGGGCCAGGCUGUACUGAAGGUCACUAAAAAUAACAUCUGGAUUGGGAAAUGGAGACAAAAAAGAGAUUAUGGUCAGCAUCACAGAAUGCUUGAGGAAGUCAUCUACAACAACACAUGGAAAAAAGUGAGCGGGACAUAAUUUCUUUCCCUUUGGCAUUCUCUGUUCUAUACUUCAGGAAUCUUCUUUCGCUUUGUAUUUGUGCUCUUUAACCUUUUUAUUAUCAUGUUUGUUGAUUUAAAUGGCUCUCUAUAAGCAUUUCAAUAUCCACCAAUUGUCCUAUCAUUUUCCUCUUCUAAACAAGCCCACGCCUGAGUACUGAUCACAGACUCACCUAGUUUAUCCUUUGUAGCUUUGGAAACAGUGAAGCACGCUCUUGCCACACUGGCCAUCUUUUCCACAGGUUCUUGGCUCUGACACCUGAAGUCGGAGAUGGGAAUCAAAGGGGGCUGGAACUCAAUAGAGACCCUCAUAUCCAGAACAGGGCGGGACCUAGAAGAGAAAAGAAAAAGACAACGCAGUCACAUCCAUUGGCCAGGGGUUACAAAUUGUCAGUCCUCCCAGAAAACAUACAAGUCGAUAUCUGGGAAAAAUUGCUGAACUUGUGUUCAGUUUUUUAAAAGCCAGAGAAAAAAAGAAUGAUGGUAAAGGAUGAAGACAGUCUCUGGAUGAGCAGGGCUAGCUCUGUAUUUGAGGAGGUCUGAACUGUUGUUUUUUUGUGUGUGACAGGAGCGACUUGAGAAACUGCAAGUCGCUUCUGGUGUGAGAGAAUUGGCUGUCUGCAAGAACGUUGCCCAAGGGACGCCCGGAUGGUUUGAUGUUUUACCAUCCUUGUGAGAAGUUUAUCUCAUGUCCCUGCAUUGGGAGCUGGAGCUGACAAAGGGAGUUAAUCUAUGCUCUCCCUGAAUUUGAACCAGCAAUCUUCAGGUCAGCAACCCAACCUUCAAGUCAGUAAUCCUGCUGGCACAAGGUUUUAACCCAUUUUGCCACCAGGGGCUCCUGACUAUGGAUUAAUUGGUGAAAUUAUAGGUCAGGAAAAUCAUUCCCACAAUAUAUGGCUGAUAGCAUGGGUAACUGAAGGGUUAAAAUCACUCAGUGCCUAGAGGGGCGAACCAGGAAUCCCAUAUCCGGCCAGGCAACUGUGACCAGCCAAGAUGCCAUGUCCGUGAGUGUUAACAGAGAUAAACAGAUACAGUAGAGUCUCACUUAUCCAAGAUAAACAGGCCACCAGAACAGUGGAUAAGCAAAAAUCUGGGAUAAUAACGAGGGAUUUAGAAAAAACCUAUUAAACAUAAAAUUACAUUAUGAUUUUACAAAUUAAGCACCAAAACAUCAUGUUUUACAAGUAAUUGACAGAAAAAGCAGUUCAAUACACAGUAAUGUUAUAUAGUAAUUACGAAUUUAGCACCAAAACAUUGCAACAUUUACUACAAAAAUAAUGACUACUAAAAGGCAGACAGCCUUGGAUAAUACAGAACCUUGGAUAAGUGAAGCUUGGAUAAGUGAGACUCUACUGUAAUUGCAACAGUACAAAAGCACUGGCUGUGUGCUUGGUACUUUCUCUUCCAUUGUGAUCACCUCUCUGUAAGUAACUGUAAAUAGUUAGAACUAGAAAUAAAGCAUUUGCCACUGAGGUUGAUUAAAAAAGCACAGAGGCAGAGGAAGAGCACAUAGGUGCAGCUCUGUUUUAAAAGUGCAUGCCUCAGAUCAAACUGCUCAGGAUCUGAAGGCUGCAAAUUCCAGGGGUCUCUCAGACAUCAUUGUAAAUGUCCCUUAAAGCUUGAUAGAUCAGGUAAAAACAUUUUUCAUUCGACACAGGUUUACCUUUGAAAGUGGUCCUCAGACCAAAAGGGGAAUCUAUUUGGAGCACCUGUGUAAGAAAUCAGUUAAUGUGUUUGUCAACUGCAAAAUAAAAUGCGUGAAGAUGAUUGGUUGAGCCAUAUCUGGAGCGCUGUUAAGCCUGGGAGUUUCUGAUACUGUUGUAAUUUUGUUCAGGCUUGAGCUAAGCAGGUGCAGUGAUAGUUGGAAGAGAAAACUAAAGGAGAGAGACACAGAAUUUGAAGUGUGCUCUUGCUUCAUGGAAUUUAUCCACAUGGACAAAAGAAAUACAAUUUUAAUUCUCUCAUAAAAGGACACUAUGUGAGUUGGUGCAACUGAGCACAUUGUACAUAUGUUGUUCUGAGUUUAAGAAGAACAAACCACUUGUUCUUUAUUGUUCACCUGCGUGGCACAUUAUCUUCUUUCUCUGGCAAGACAGUGCGUGGACUACACAUUUUGAUUGUUCAUUCUGUAACAACCUGGACCUCAACAACUACACAAAGUUGUUGGGUUCAGAUAUCCAGGGCUAUGAAUCACAUCUGGAAUUACAUGGAAGCUUGAAGAUAUCUUGGAGUCAAUGAAAUCCCACUCCCCACAUACAAAUCUAGCUAAUUCAGUCGACAUACAUAGAGUGAUGAUAUUUCUGUGUGUUACACAUAAAGCUAUCCCACCAAAGAAAAAUGAUGAGGAUAUCAAAAACAAAAGGAUUGCAUGGUUAGGUUUUGUUCAGAGGGAACAAAGAGGAAACCAAGAGAAAGUGGGAAUCCUCACCUGAGCAGCAGGACCUGUCCCUGUCGUCCCACCGCGAUGUCCUUCAGCCCAUCCCCUGUAAGGUCUGUCCCUCCACUGACAGCUUGGCCGAAGUACAGGAGCCCUCCAGAAAAGCGUAGCCCUCCAAUGCGCUGCAAAAAGAAAAAGAGAGAGAGAGGAGGCAAAAUUGAAGAUGUUAUUAGAUAUAGACUAUGGCUAACAAGGAAAGGAGAUUCCACCUGAAUCUGGCUGUAAGAAGAGCUGUUCAAGGGUGGAGUGUGAUAAAGACUCCUUCUUGGAGGCUUUUAAACAGAGGCUGGAUGGCUAUGAACUUUUCCUGCAUGGCAUGGAGUUGAACUAGAUGACCUAUGUGGUGUCUUCUGUUGGAUUAUGGAUGUAUGUGUAUGAAAUGUAAAUCAAGUGUUUCUGCUGUUUUGCAAGAGUGUGUGUUUCAGUAAUGAGACAGUUAACAGCAGGCUAUUUAGACUGAUUUCCGGCUUUGGAGGUCGGAACUUCCUUCAGACGGAGGAAUGUUUUAUCUUAUCUCUGUGUGUGUUGAGCUGGUGCUUGCCGAGGCAAGAGGCUAUAGAAGAAUGCCAGCUCAGAGCGAUGGCUUUUGCUAUGCUUUGUAAAUAUGUUUGUAGAUAUUGAAAUAAAUGUUUGAACUUCAGACUAA